rnacentral:lncRNA from 1 species
ACACUCUAUUUGUUAUAGUGCAACCUUGCUGGUCCUAACUUACUUGUGUGGAGUAUGCUUUCUAUGUUUCAAUAGGUUAGGGGCCCACAUUCUCUUACCAAGUAAGUUGUUCUUGCAUUUUAUUUUCUUUGUUGCUUGUUUGGUGGUUGAGAUCUUAUGGUAUAGUAUUACUAGUGUUUUGUUGAAGUCAUUACUCCUGGAUUUACGAAUGUAUGAGGUUAGUGCAAGACCUUGAUAGUGUCUUUGCUGAAGUAACACUAGUAUUUGAGAGUUUUAUGAGAAAUUGAGUCAUUUUGAGUGAGGUGAUGUGAGGGA